AUUCUGUAAUAAAGUCUCAGUUUUAUUAUCCGGGGCUAAAAAAUCAGAGUAAAUUUAUCCAACCCGCCGUUUAAUUCCGGAUUAUUGAUGUGUGGAGGCCGGAGCGGGAGGAGUGACGAUAACGGAGCGCUCAGUAGUUCUGACAUCAUCACACCGGGAUUAAUCUGAUAAAUCAUCCGCUCAUCUCAUCCACUCAUCCCCGGAGUACAGCUGCAUGAUUCUCCUCUGCUUCUACUCCAGCGGGAUUGAUUAAGCCAUGGAUGGAUCGAUUGAAUUAUUGAUUGAUUGAUCGGCGGGACCUGAUGCGGACUCGCUCGCGGUUGACAUGGCAACGGGACCGGAUUAUAUAAAUAAAGUCUAAUCUACAGUGAUCAAUCAAUCCCGAUCAGAUUCAUCACCUCCAUGUGACUGAUCACCACUGAUCCUCCUGUUCCAGCUCAGUCCAGCUGGAUCAAUUCUCCUCCCACACUUCUGCGUUUACUCCCACUUAACCUGCAUGCUGUUGUUUCCCAUGAUGCCCUGAGGAAAACAUUGGUGCACAUCAAUCAGGACCGGUUCAACUCAGAAACGUUUCAAAACAUGCUGAAAGAUCUACGUAGAAGCUGGAGACGAGACCCUGUGAGACUGAGGAGACGACGUCCUCCUCCCGGACUGCGGAGAGCUCAACAUCUGCACGAGACAAAAACACCAAAAAUCAAUAAACCAAAACUACAAAGAUACACGAUAAAGCCACAAGUA